rnacentral:rRNA from 1 species
AUUGAACGCUGGCGGCAGGCCUAACACAUGCAAGUCGAGCGGAUGACGGGAGCUUGCUCCUUGAUUCAGCGGCGGACGGGUGAGUAAUGCCUAGGAAUCUGCCUGGUAGUGGGGGACAACGUUUCGAAAGGAACGCUAAUACCGCAUACGUCCUACGGGCGAAAGCAGGGGACCUUCGGGCCUUGCGCUAUCAGAUGAGCCUAGGUCGGAUGAGCUAGUUGGUGGGGUAAUGGCUCACCAAGGCGACGAUCCGUAACUGGUCUGAGAGGAUGAUCAGUCACACUGGAACUGAGACACGGUCCAGACUCCUACGGGAGGCAGCAGUGGGGAAUAUUGGACAAUGGGCGAAAGCCUGAUCCAGUCGUGCCGCGUGUGUGAAGAAGGUCUUCGGAUUGUAAAGCACUUUAAGUUGGGAGGAAGGGCAGUAAGCUAAUACCUUGCUGUUUUGACGUUACCGACAGAAUAAGCACCGGCUAACUCUGUGCCAGCCGCCGCUGUAACAC